rnacentral:rRNA from 1 species
ACGGGGGGGGCAAGCGUUGUUCGGAAUUACUGGGCGUAAAGGGCUCGUAGGCGGCCAACUAAGUCGGACGUGAAAUCCCUCGGCUUAACCGGGGAACUGCGUCCGAUACUGGAUGGCUUGAGUUUGGGAGAGGGAUGCGGAAUUCCAGGUGUAGCGGUGAAAUGCGUAGAUAUCUGGAGGAACACCGGUGGCGAAGGCGGCAUCCUGGACCACAACUGACGCUGAGGCGCGAAAGCUAGGGGAGCAAACAGGA